UAUACAAGUAUGUAUGCAUAUAUUUGUUGUGUUGAUUUUAACCGUUUUAAAAGAGCAUGUCAACAUCUGACAUUUUUCUUUUUUUAUAAUGUUGAUUAAAAUGAAUAGGUUAAUAUUUUGAUUGGUCUUAAAGCAUUGGAUUGGUAGCUAAUUGCAAGAGUUCACCUUCGACAAGCCAUAUACUACUCAAGAAAUUGAUGAAGUUAGAGAAGAAUGGGCAAUGUUAUUUUUACAUUUGGUUAGAGCAAAAUGAAUGAUGUUAUAGCUAGCUAAUUACAAUACAUGUUUAGAAAUUUUAAAUUUAUUUCGUAAAAUUUUUUGCCA